UACAGAGGGUGCGAGCGUUGUCCGGAACCACUGGGCGUAAAGGGCGCGUAGGCGGCUUGAUAAGCGUGCGGUGAAAGCCCGGGGCUCAACCCCGGGUCGGCCGUGCGAACUGUCGAGCUGGAGCACUGUAGAGGCAGGUGGAAUUCCGGGUGUAGCGGUGGAAUGCGUAGAGAUCCGGAAGAACACCGGUGGCGAAGGCGGCCUGCUGGGCAGUGGCUGACGCUGAGGCGCGACAGCGUGGGGAGCAAACAGG
rnacentral:rRNA from 1 species